rnacentral:sRNA from 1 species
AAAACUAAUGCACGUGGAAAGUUCAAUAUGACCGAUUUCUUAACUGCUCUCAAAACUGCCACAAAUAUUUACGGCGACAUCGAACUAAAGAAGGAACAGAAGGAAGUGCUUGAGUAUGUGUACCAAGGUAGAGACUGUAUUGCUGUUUUACCUACUGGUUUUGGGAAGAGUGUGAUUUUUCACCUUAUCCCCUACCUGUUCAAACAAAGAUCAGCGAUAGUGGUUGCCCCGAUAUCGGCCCUAAUGGAGGACCAGCUUCUGUCCUUGAGUGAAAUGAACAUAAGUGCAUGUUCUCUUACAAUGGAUGGCUCUUUCUUUAACAUUGUUUCCAGUGAAGAUGAUAAAUGUAUAAAAACUGUAAACAUGGACCAUUUCAAUAUGGCAGAUUUUAAGCUAGUUUAUGUCCAUCCAGAGACAGUGACAUCAAAUAGCAAACUUAGGAGAAUGUUACUUACAAAGAAAAUUCAACAACAAGUAUGCUGUGUUGUAAUUGAUGAAGUGCACAUGGUUUCAGAAUGGGGUGACAGCUUCAGGCCAUCUUUUAGCAAGCUUGGUGAAUUGACAGCUAUUUUUCCGAGGAUACCCCAUUUAGCACUAACUGCCACUGCAACCCCAAAGUGCAUUGAACAACUAUGUGAAAUUUUACAGCUAAGAGAUGUAAAACUGGUUACCAGCAAUCCAGAUAGACCAAAUAUUUAUUAUGAGAUAAAAACAAGACUUCCAAAUGUGAAGAAAUACGACAAGUAUGAUGACUAAAUAAAGCCUCUUUGUACUGAACUUAAAAGUUUAAAAAGUGCAUUCCCUGUUACGAUAUGCUACAUGGAUAGCCUUGAGUCCCUGGCAUACUGUUACCAGUUCACAGAGGAAUUCCUUGCUGAAGAUGCUUAUGACCCAGUGGAACAGGUACCCGAAAACCGCAUAUCCGCUAUGUUUCACAAGGACUAUACUACAAGGAUGAAGACUCAUAUUAUAACGGAACUUAGAAAACCUGAAACUAAAAUCCGCCUGAUAUUAGCAACUGUUGGUUUAGGUAUGGGCCUAAAUGCUCCAGAGGUCAGCCAUAUUAUGCAUUUUAGACCACCAACUUCAUUAGAGAAGUACAUGCAGGAAUCGGGGAGAGCAGGAAGAGGUGGACAGCCGAGCAGAGCAACACUGUACUUCAACAAAAGUGACAUUGCUUCCAACCGACCCGGAAUGACUGAUGAGACGUUACUGUAAGAGUGAUGUCUUGUGCUUACGAUUAUUAUUGGCAAAACAUUUUGGCUUUUCCGAGACUGUAUUUGAAGGGGAAAAGAAAAACUGUUGUUCUAGUUGUAGAAAUGAUGAGUAGUUAUUCAUCAAUGUUGUUGGAUACUAUACAAUUAUGAUAUUGUGUAUUUUUGAAUCAACAUUCUUAAGUGAAUAUAACACCUAUUGACUAAACUUACAAGUCCAACAUACUGUGGUUUCAUCAAUAUUCGUUGAAUACCAAUUUUAGUUGAUUUCGUUGUUAAGUUUAUCCUUAAAAUUAAAUAUUCAUUGAACUGCAAUUUCUACUAAUAUUUUGUAUUGAUCAGGGUUAUUGGCCACGAAUUUAUGUAUCCUUGAAACUGUGAUUUUUACUUUAUCCACGAAAAUUGAUACCCUUGAAUAUUAAUGAAACCACAGUAGCUGUCAAUUCUGAGAAUAUAUACAUGUAUUGUUUGUUUAAGUAACACAAUGAGGAAAAGUAUUUUGAGGAUUAACUUUGUAUUUUUUAUCAACUUAUAAAUAACAAGUUUUCAAAUGAAAGUAGAAAUUU